rnacentral:rRNA from 1 species
ACUUCUUUAUCACCGAGUGCUUGCACUCACCGAUAAAGAGUUGAGUGGCGAACGGGUGAGUAACACGUGGGCAACCUGCCCAAAAGAGGGGGAUAACACUUGGAAACAGGUGCUAAUACCGCAUAACCAUAGUUACCGCAUGGUAACUAUGUAAAAGGUGGCUAUGCUACCGCUUUUGGAUGGGCCCGCGACGCAUUAGCUAGUUGGUGGGGUAAAGGCUUACCAAGGCAAUGAUGCGUAGCCGAACUGAGAGGUUGAUCGGCCACAUUGGGACUGAGACACGGCCCAAACUCCUACGGGAGGCAGCAGUAGGGAAUCUUCCACAAUGGGCGAAAGCCUGAUGGAGCAACGCCGCGUGGGUGAAGAAGGUCUUCGGAUCGUAAAACCCUGUUGUUAGAGAAGAAAGUGCGUGAGAGUAACUGUUCACGUUUCGACGGUAUCUAACCAGAAAGCCACGGCUAACUACGUGCCAGCAGCCGCGGUAAUACGUAGGUGGCAAGCGUUAUCCGGAUUUAUUGGGCGUAAAGAGAACGCAGGCGGUCUUUUAAGUCUGAUGUGAAAGCCUUCGGCUUAACCGGAGUAGUGCAUUGGAAACUGGGAGACUUGAGUGCAGAAGAGGAGAGUGGAACUCCAUGUGUAGCGGUGAAAUGCGUAGAUAUAUGGAAGAACACCAGUGGCGAAAGCGGCUCUCUGGUCUGUA